GGUUGUGGCUCAGCGGUAGAGCGCUCGCCUCGCCCGUGCUAGACCCUGGGUUCAAUUCUUAGCACCA
rnacentral:tRNA from 1 species